GACGAACGCUGGCGGCGUGCUUAACACAUGCAAGUCGAACGGUGAUCUUGAGAGCUUGCUCUUGGGUGAUCAGUGGCGAACGGGUGAGUAACACGUGAGUAACCUGCCCCUGACUCUGGAAUAACUUCGGGAAACCGAAGCUAAUACCGGAUAUGACACAGAGCCGCAUGGUUUCUGUGUGGAAAGUUUUUCGGUUGGGGAUGGACUCGCGGCCUAUCAGCUUGUUGGUGAGGUAAUGGCUCACCAAGGCGACGACGGGUAGCCGGCCUGAGAGGGCGACCGGCCACACUGGGACUGAGACACGGCCCAGACUCCUACGGGAGGCAGCAGUGGGGAAUUUUGGGCAAUGGGGGAGACCCUGACCCAGCGACGCCGCGUGAGGGAAGACGGCCUUCGGGUUGUAAACCUCUUUUGUACGGGAAGAUAAUGACGGUACUGUACGAAUAAGUCCCGGCUAACUACGUG
rnacentral:rRNA from 1 species